rnacentral:rRNA from 1 species
GAUGAACGCUGGCGGCGUGCUUAACACAUGCAAGUCGAACGAGAAAUGGAGACGGAAACCUUCGGGCGGAAGGCUUCAUUUCGAGUGGCGGACGGGUGAGUAACGCGUGGGUAACCUGCCUCAUACAGGGGGAUAACAGUCGGAAACGACUGCUAAUACCGCAUAAGACCACAGCACCGCAUGGUGCGGGGGUAAAAACUCCGGUGGUAUGAGAUGGACCCGCGUUCGAUUAGCCAGUUGGCGGGGUAACGGCCCACCAAAGCGACGAUCGAUAGCCGAUCUGAGAGGAUGACCGGACACAUUGGGACUGAGACACGGCCCAAACUCCUACGGGAGGCAGCAGUGGGGAAUAUUGCACAAUGGGGGAAACCCUGAUGCAGCGACGCCGCGUGAGUGAAGAAGUACUUCGGUAUGUAAAGCUCUAUAAGCAGGGAAGAAAAUGACGGUACCUGAGUAAGAAGCCCCGGCUAACUACGUG